rnacentral:tRNA from 3 species
GGACCCGUGGUCUAGUGGUUAUGACGUCGCCCUUACAAGGCGGAGGUCGCCGGUUCGAGCCCGGCCGGGUCCACCA